AUGGGACACAGUGUGAUCUCAGUGGCACGUCUUAAGGAAUGUCAUUACCCAAAUGAAAAGCUCCCCCAGGGAAGGAAGGGCAGGGACGCGUUGUUCCGGAGACGCACACAAACACUCUCCGCCAAGGCACAGAAAUGUACAGGAGACGGAGCGGAGGGAGCAAGAGCGGAGAUGAAGGACCAGCGACGGUGGACCCCAGCCUUCCCACCCCAAAUCCUUCCAGUUGCCAAGAGUCGAAAGGUUGGGAUUUGCAAUGAACCUGGUUGCAAUUUGAUCAACCCCAAAGUUGAUAUGAUUUUCCUGAUGCUUGAGGGAUGCAUCAAGUGGUCUCCAAGCAGGAGGCAUCUCAACCGUUGACUUGCCCAAGCUCAGCCAAUGGGUGUAGGAGCCACAGUGACGCAAUGGGAUAAACACUUGUGAAGGUUGGGUUGCUGACCUGAAAGUUGCCGGUUCAAAUCCGCGAGAUGGGGUGAGCUCCCGCCUGUCAGCUCUAGCUUGUGGAGACCUGAGAGAAGCCUCACAGCAGGAUGGUAACACAUUCCGGGCAAUGUCCCUUGGGCAACAUCUUUGCAGACGGCCAAUUCUCUCACACCAGAAGUGACUCGUAGUAUGUUCUCAAGUCGAGUAAGCUCCCGCCUGUCAGCUCUAGCUUGUGGGGAUAUGAGAGGAGGCUCCCAGCAGGAUGGUAAUACAUUGGUAAUGUCCCCUGGGCAACAUCUUUGUAGACGGCCAAUUCUCUCACACCAGAAGCGACCUGCAGUAUAUAUACCUCACAACCUCUGAGGAUGCCUGCCAUAGAUGUGGGCGAAACGUCAGGAGAGAAUACUUCUGGAACAUGGCCAUACAGCCCAGAAAACACACAACCAUGACUUGACAUAUGUUCUCAAGUUGCUUCUGACAUGUUAAAAAAGCCAAUGGGUUUCCACAGCUGAGCAAGAACUCGAACCCAGGGCUCCAGAGUUGUCAUCCAAUGCUCCGACCAUACCAUCUCAAUAGGAUUUACCAAUGUGAGGAAUCCACCACCGAUCCAAAGGGUCAACUCCAGUUGGGAUCCAACCUUUUACCCCUCGCGAAGUGUCACAAGUGGUACAACAUAAUAUGCUCCUUUCCUCCAGACUGUCCUUUCUUCUCCUUCCUCCUCGCAGGCUUCCAGAACGUUCCGGUCGACUGGUUUGGAAAAUGGGAUGUUCGGUAACGGCUCAAUCGUUGGGUGCCACCACGCUUCUUUCUUUCUCUCUCCUCGGUGAGCCUCGCUUUGUGGAUUUAUGGGACCGUACAGCCCCAUAAUGCAUUUUUUAAUCACCCUGUCGACUUGCGGGGACAAAGAGUCGGACGCAGAGAUUACUUCCGACAGUAACAUCUUGUUCUGGAGAAGACCAGCGGGAACACUCAAGAGCAGGCGAAAACACGCGCAGAACGUUGCGCCUCCUGCUUCAAAGGUAGUCACCGCCGAGUCUCCCAACUGUCCGUAAUUUUUAGCUAGAACUACAAUCUUCUCUGUCUCCAUGGCCUUGGAAGUAGAGUUAAUUGUUUUCUUUAAGGAGCCAUCUAUUACUUAACUGAUGGCAGAAUUAUGAUGUUGCUGCAAA
rnacentral:lncRNA from 1 species